rnacentral:lncRNA from 1 species
AAUAUUUAAAAUUAAAGAUAAACAUCUAGCUUUCCCCAGUUUCUUUAAUCUUUACUUUUAUUUCCUCCUUUACCCUUCCUGGAAAGAAAUGUUUAUAUAUUUUUACAUACAUGUCUGUAUAUUUAUUUUUUACUUUCACAACAUUAAUAGAGUAUGGUGCUUUGUCCAAAUCAAAAUGUGUAGAACUUCCUUCUUCUUUUAAUUAUAUGCAUAGAUUCCAGUGUUUAAAUUUCGUGUAACUACCCUUCCCACGUCCCUUCUUUCUGCCCUCUUGCCAUUAUCAGCUUCUUCAAAUCUAUCAUAUACACAACAGCUGUGAUGAUUAAUACUGAGUGUCAGCUCAAGUGGAUUGAAGGAUGCAAAGUAUUGUUCCUGUGUGUCUGUGAGGGUGUUGCCAAAGAUGUGUCUGUGUGGUGUGUCUGUGAGGGUGUUGCCAAAGGAGAUUAACAUUUGAGUCAGUGGACUGGUAGUGGCAGACCCACCCUCAAUCUGGCUGGACACAAUCUAAUCAGCUGCCAGCGAGGUUAGUAUAAGGCAAAAGAUGGAAGAGGAGACUGUCUGAGUCUUCCGGCUUUCAUCUUUCUCCCAUGCUGGAUGCUUCCUGGCCUUAAGCAUCAAACUUCAAGUUUUUCAGCUUUUGUACUCUUGGACUUACACCAGUGGUUUGCCAGGGGCUUUUGGGCCUUUGGCCACAGACUGAAGGCUGCACUGUCGACUUGCCUGCUUUUGAGGUUUUGGAACUCAAACUGAUUCACCACUGGCUUCCUUGCUCCUCAACUUGCAGAUGGCCUAUCAUGGGAACUUACUUUAUGAUUGCGUGAAUCUUGGUUUCCCUGUGGGCAAUGAUGUAUGGAACUUACGAACAAUAUGGGCAGAUCAACAAACAGCACAUAAAGGUCAUUAUGCAAUCUUUCUCGGACUCAGCUCUCUAAUUCUUAAGAACUAUUAUCCUCCAUUUACAGUUAAGUAAACUGAGGCCCUGGAAAAUGAGGCACUUUAGUUUUAAAAGCUGCUAAAGUCUAUUGCUACAUCAUGCAGCUAGCCUGGGCUCUGCUUUGCUUGUGUCAGUCAGCUCUGAAGAAGUCUCUGUCCUGUAAUUUAGACUGUAUGCCAUUAAGUGGGAUUAGUUCAGGGAAAUUCACAGGAAUAACAAAAGACAGAAAACAUGAGGAUGAUGGGCCCCACCCCAGGACGGAAAAUGUGUGGAAACAUCAAGGGAAUAAAAGUGUGUCAGUUUCAGUUCUGGACUCCACAUUUUGCUAGGGACAUUACCAACUAUCCAGAAGACAGAGAUGGGAAAUGUAAAGGGACUGCAAAAAAGCCAUGUUACAUAAAGAACCGUGAAAGAAACUGGAAAUAAUUUCCUUAGAGGACAGAAGAUUCCUAGGAAAUAAGACAAUGAACAAUGAGUGUUGGAGAAUGUCCUUUCCUGCCUCUUAAUCAUUCUGAAUCGAAACUAAUGAUAAACUUCAAUCAAUGACAUUGAGGGGAUGGGUAAGGGAUAAUAUAAAGAGUCCUCUAUGCAUGCUAAUUUGUUGUUACAUGUGACCUAAGAUGGUGGUUUCUUGCUUUAAAGACCUUACUAAUCAUUACAGAGUAUUCUUAUUCUCUGCUCAAUAAUUUGGAAAUGACUUAGGUCCUGUAACUCUCUGUGUCUCUAAUUUCUGAUCUCUGUAUUCAUCCAUGCUGUCUUUAGUACAAGUAUUUAUUUAUGUAGACUUCCCUUGUUCUGUUCUUUAUGUUACAUGGAGGAAAUUCUGAGAAACUUCAUCAGUAGCACUAUGAAACUCCUUCCAUACAGAACAGUCUAGAACAGGCAUUGUCAAACUGGGCUAAAUCUGUUCUGCCAUCUGCUUUUCUAAAGAAAAUGUUGUUGGAACACAACCACGUUCAUUCAUUUCUGUAUUGUCUGUGGCAGAGAUUGACCAUCACGAUAGAGACCAUAUGAGUUGAAAAGCCUAAAACAUUUAUUACCUGGCUCUGAACAGAAAAUACUUGCUGACUUCUGGUCUGGAACAGCACUGUGUAUAUACCUCAGGUUUAAUACUGGAAGUCUCCAUUAGUCCUUCUUCAGAGGUGACUAGAGUGCACAGUCAUAAUGACAGGGCCCCAAGGACUUCUCUAACUCACACUCCCUGUCCAGUCACCUUCACUGCAACAACCAUCUUACCAAGGGGUGCUGUCACUGCUCCUGUCCACUUUCUGGCCGUCAGAUGCCUCGAGAGUUCUUCUUGCCCUUGAUAAGGAAUAAACUUGUCAGUUGCAUGUGGCAGUUUUUCAACUGAUUUGGGAGAUGAUGCAGAUUUUGCUAUUUCUUAACUUUCAAUUGUUGUGUUUUCUGGUUCUCAGUAGGGAGACAUGAAGAAAAUUGCUGAUUCCCUUCAGUUAAAUAACAGUUUAGAUUAAACCAGCAAGAACUUUUGCUCUUUAAUAAAAUGCAAAGUUACCAUGCCUUUCUCCGGCUCGAUCAUUCAUGCAUCAUAAUGUGAAUGGAGUUGUAGGAGUAUGAUGUUUAUUCUCACAAUAGGUUUAAUUCUGAGUAAAAGCACUAAUUGAAAAAUCAGAAGAAUUUUGUCUUUAAGAGCUCAUGUUAAUGCAUGCAUUCAUCCAUCUGAAUUUUGAUGAUCUCGGUUUUUUUCUGUGUAAAUUCUUAUCAGAAUGGAGUGACUCUAAAUUGCGCCCUGCUUGUAACUUUCAUGUAUGAUUUGCUCCCUUGUUGUUUACCAGCCCUUUUAAAACUACAUAGUAGAAAGAAAAUAUUUUAAACAAUGUCACAUCCAGACGGUGAUUUCUCAAAGCUUCAAAUGCAGGCUUUAAUCCUUCUCCCAGGUUAGCCAGACUCAGGCUGCUGCACAGCACUGGGGCUUUUCAGACACAUUAAGGAUUCUGGACAGGCUUCACCCCAGACACCCUUGUGCUC